AUUGAACGCUGGCGGCAGGAUUAACACAUGCAAGUCGAGCGAGCGGCGGACGGGUGAGUAAUGUCUGGGAAACUGCCUGAUGGAGGGGUAUAACUACUGGAAACGGUAGCUAAUACCGCAUACCAUCAGAUGUGCCCAGAUGGGAGUAGCUAGUAGGUGGGGUAAUGGCUAACCUAGGCGACGACCCCUAGCUGGUCUGAGAGGAUGACCAGCCACACUGGAACUGAGACACGGUCCAGACUCUUACGGGAGGCAGCAGUGGGGAAUAUUGCACAAGGGGCGCAAGCCAGAUGAAGACAUGCCGCGUGUGUGAAGAAGGCCUUCGGGUGGUAAAGCACUUUCAGCGAGGAGGCGUUACUCGCAGAGGAAGCACCGGCUAACUCCGUGCCAGCAGCCGCGGUAAUAA
rnacentral:rRNA from 1 species